UUCACUCAGUUCACUUUUCAUUUUCACUCAGUAGAAUGCCGUUUUCAUUUCACUUCAUCUUCCUUUUUUCUUCUUUUUCGAAUCUCAGUUUUCAGUUCACUUUGCAUCUUCAUUUUUGAAUGUUCAUCUUCUUAAGGAAAUGUCCACAACUGGAGACAAUAGCAAUGAUUUUAUGGAGAUACUUUUUUCUAAUUCGGAGGAGGAAUCUGAACCUGAGGUUUUGAUGGUGUAACAUUCCGGCCUCUCGGACCGUUGGUGACUACUCUUGGAGACUGUAGACUAGCCCAACAAACCAACACAAGUCUUUCCGGCGCACUUUGUCCUCACUCGUGCGCACCCGGAAAAACUUCCCAGGAGGUCACCCAUUCUAAGAUUGCUCUCCACCAAACACGCUUAAUUGUUGAGUUUUUAGCAAAUGGGCUCCCUAGAAAAGAAGAUGCACCUUGUUGGUAUGAGUAGUCUAUCAAUCUUUUUUCAAGUUAAAUCUAAGAUAUUACACUCACCCCCACUUAAGAAUACAGCGUCCUCGUUGGAUCGUAACUUCAGGAUCUUUUCCCCCGCUAGGUGCACUGAACACUAUCAGCCACGGUUGUAGGGUUGUUCUGAUACCAUUUGUAACACCCCGGGCUCUCGGAUCGCUAGUGACUACUCUUGGAGACUGUAAACUAGCCCCACAAACCAACAUAAGUCUUUCCAGCGCACUUUGGCCUCACUCGUACGCACCCGGAAAAACUUCCCAGGAGGUCACCCAUCCUAAGAUUGCUCUCCACCAAGCACGCUUAAUUGUGGAGUUCUUAGCAAAUGGGCUCCCUAGAAAAAAAAAUGCACCUUGUUGGUAUGAGUAGUCUAUUAAUUUUUUUUCAAGCUAAAUCUAGGAUAUUACAGAUGGAGGUUCAAUCCAAGAAAAAGAAGGGAAAAGAUUGUGGAAAAACAACAAAGAAUGAAGAAGAUGAAUCUAAGGGUAAGCGUAAAAAGCCUUCUACUGCUUGAGAUCAUUUUAGUGAAAUCCCUAGUGAUACAAAUUUUGCGCUCUACUGUUAAUGGAACUAAUGCUAUGAGACGUGACUCCUUUUUUUGUUGACAAAAGGCAAACAAUUUUAGUUUUUGAGUCUAAAACAAGAGUAAACUCCGAUGGAACUGUUGAGACUGUGAGUGUUUCUAAAUUAUGGCAUUUUAAUCAAGAUGAAAUAAGAGAAGCAAUUGCUGAAAUGAUAAUUAUUGAUGAAUUGCCAUUAGUUUUGUAGACUGUGAGGGUUUUCGUAAGCUUUGUAAGGUUGCUAUUCCUGAUUUCAUUCCUGUGUCUGACCACAUAAUAGAAAGAAAUUAAAGAGUUUUUUUAAGAAUUUGACAUUUAGGGUUUGUCUUACCACAAAUACAUGGCCUUCUGGUCAAAAUUUGUCGUAUAUGUGUCUAAUUGCUCAAUUUAGAGAUGACAAUUGGAAUUUGCAUAAAAAAAUUAUUAAUUUUUGCCCUGCUGCUGGUCAAUCUGGGAAACUUAUUGGUAAAGUUGUUAAAAAGUGUCUUCUUGCAUGGGGUCUUAAAAAAGUACUCACAUUAACUGUCGACAAUGCUAGUUCUUAUGAUUUAGCCAUUAAAUAUUUAAAAGAGGUAAUCAAGCUUUGGGAUGAUUGUGUGUUGAAUGCUGAGUUUUUACAUAUGAGAUGUGUUGCACAUAUUUUGAAUCUAGUUGUCAAAGAUGGUUUUAGAGAAGUUGAUAGAGCUGUUUUGAAAGUCCGAGCUGCUGUGAAAUAUGUGAGGUCUUCCCCUGCAAGGUUAAAAAAGUUUAGGGCAUGUGUUUUAGAGGAAAGUUUAAGUUGUAAGGGUCUUGUUAACUUAGACAUUAAAACAAGGUGGAAUUUCACUUACAACAUGCUUAAAAUUGCAUUGACAUUUAGGAAGGCUUUUAAAAAUUUGAAAACAAAGUUCUCUCCUUAUGUAAGAGAGCUUAAUAAGGUGAUGGUGCACCUGAAGAUGAUGAUUGGGAUAGGGUUGCUGUGUUUUUGACUUGAGAUUUUCUAUGAUGCUAUUUUGAGUUUGUCUGGCUCAAGAAAUGUCACAUGUAAUGCAGUUUUUGAACAGAUUUAUGACAUUGGUUAUGCCAUUAAGACUCAUCUUAAUGACCAAGAUGAAAGUCUGAAGCAAAUGGCAAAAUUAAUGAAGGAUAAAUAUGACAAGUAUUUGACAAAAUGUUAAUGUCAAUAAUGUUUUGAUGUUCAUGCUUUAGUUCUUGAUCCAAGACUUAAGUUAAAAUACGUUGAGUGGAUUGUUUAAUGGUCUUAUGAUUAUAUUGACUCAAUUAGCAUGUGUGAACGGAUUAGAGAUAGUUUCGUGAAAUUGUUUGAUUUUUAUGCAUCUUCCCAACACACAAAGAAGAUUGGUUCAUGUUCUAGUGUUUCUAGUGUUUAUGUUGGCAUCGAUACGAUUGAGGUUGAGGGGAAAAGGAGCAAGGGGUCAAGAUUAAGAAAGGAAUAUGUGAAUGAAAUUGGAAAAUUCACUUCGGAAGUAAUAACUAAGUUGGAUAAGUAUUUAGGAAGUGAGUGAGGAUAAUGAUGAUGAGUUAUAUUGUCUUGGUGGUUUGGACAAGGGAAAACCUAUCCAAUUCUUAUGUUUAUGGCUAGAGAUGUACUAGUUUUUCCAGUUUCGAGUGUUGCUUCAGAGUUCGCUUUUAGCACGGGAGAAUGUGUUCUUGAUCAAUUUUGUACUUUGACUCCUCGAAUGGUAGAAGCUCUCAAUUGUUGUCAAGAUUGGAUUCAUACUUCGGAUCAAUUUGCAUAGAGGAAAGUUUAUUAGAGUUGGAAAGUAUCGAAGAAGGCAUGGAAGAUUUAGUUUUAGAGCAACCAACUAUUAUCAUUGAUGAAACGACCGCUAUUCCGACAGAAAAAUGAGCAAAUGAAGACUUUGGACUGUAAUUGUUAUGUUAUUGAAGACGUUUGUAAUUGAGAAUUGUGGACUUUGUUUUGUUUGGACUUUUAUUUAAAACUUUGCUUUGUUUGUUUGGGACUUUAAGGUGGACUAUUAGUAUUUUAUGGUGGACUAUGGUUUAUUCGGGACUUUGAACAACAUUGACAUUAUAUAUUACUUCUGAGUUUUGAAAAUUAGAAUAUUAAUUUUAAAAUUUAAAAUUCUGCCUAAAUCAGUAAAUCUGUAUCUGUCCAAAUUUUCUACCUAGAAUUUUAUAAUAAAUACUAUAAUUAAAUCUGUUAAAAUAAUCAAAAUAAAAAUCGGGUACUCAGUGUUCUGACUCGUUUUAUUCGGGUACUCGAAAAUCGGGUACCCGCAUUAAAUGGGAGGGGACACGGGCUGUUUAAAAAGUUUGCCGGGUACUCGGUAAUAAAUACCCUUACUCAUAAUCAUUUUGAACAAAUUUGUUAAAUUAGAAAAAAAAAAGAGAUCCAUGUUUGAUCAAUUAAAUAACAAUAAAAAGCAAUUAAAAUCUAAAUUUCUAAAUAAAUUAUUCACAUGCAUAUAAGAAAAUAUGAUGUCAAAAAAUCAAUAAAUAAAAAAAAUUAAGAAAAUGAAAGAGAUAAAAAUGUACUAAUGCAAAAGAUAUGGCCCAUUCAUCCAGAUUGGU